rnacentral:tRNA from 1 species
GAGGGUGUUGCUCAGUUGGUAGAGUGCUUGCCUGGCAUGCAGGGGACCCUGGGCUUGAUUCCCAGUAUCA